GGAACGUACCUUUCAGUGGGGGAUAACGUAGCGAAAGUUACGCUAAUACCGCAUAUUCUGUGAGCAGGAAAGCAGGGGAUCUUAGGACCUUGCGCUGAUUGAGCGGCCGAUAUCAGAUUAGCUAGUUGGUGAGGUAAAGGCUCACCAAGGCGACGAUCUGUAGCGGGUCUGAGAGGAUGAUCCGCCACACUGGAACUGAGACACGGUCCAGACUCCUACGGGAGGCAGCAGUGGGGAAUUUUGGACAAUGGGGGCAACCCUGAUCCAGCCAUGCCGCGUGAGUGAAGAAGGCCUUCGGGUUGUAAAGCUCUUUCGGCCGGGAAGAAAUCGCAUGGGUUAAUACCCUGUGCGGAUGACGGUACCGGCAUAAGAAGCACCGGCUAACUACGUGCCAGCAGCCGCGGUAAUACGUAGGGUGCGAGCGUUAAUCGGAAUUACUGGGCGUAAAGCGUGCGCAGGCGGUUUUGUAAGACAGGCGUGAAAUCCCCGGGCUCAACCUGGGAACU
rnacentral:rRNA from 1 species